rnacentral:lncRNA from 1 species
GGAAGAUGUGAAGAUUUACCUUUGGGUAACUCAAUCCCAGUUUCUGAAUUCACACUCUGUUCUCUUCUUCCCUGAUAAGUGGUUCAUGAACUGAUCCACCAGGACAGUGCCUUCUUCAUGAACUCUAUCGAACAAAAUCUCAGCAUGCACAGACACUGCCAAGAAUAUCAUUCUGCUGAUUUCCACAUCAUACAAGCAGUCUAUCUUCCACUGGCCAACGGAGUACAGAACCCUUCUUCAAGGCAAUAUCCAAUAGGAUCACCUAAAAUCCCACACCAAGCCGCAGAAUCUGGCCCUGAAGGUGGGGACUAGAAUAACGAUGGGAAAGAGUAGCAAGCACAGCGUGAGGGGACC